rnacentral:lncRNA from 1 species
AUGAUAAGAUCUCUUUUUAUUUGUUGCUGUCUUUCAGAGUACUGGAGCAUAAAAUUGGAAUGUCAUUCCAUGAUGGCACUGGCAGAAAAAUCAUUUGAUGGCUGCAACUCAAUUGUAUAUUUUGUAAUUACUAUAAAAGUACUCGUCUGUCAAGGAAGCGAGUCUGGAGGAGUUUACUAUCCACGUCGAUACUCCGGCGCAGUGUAUGUUGCUCAGGAAAUGAAUGUGCUCAAAGGUGCCAAUUAACAGCAUUCAGACCCAACACUGACAGGACAAGGAGAACAUUUCCAUCGAUUGCCCCACUCAAAGAUGACCUCAUAGAAAAGAUGAGAUGAAAAGAUGCAGCGUCAAAGGAGGCCGUCCUCCUGUGUCAGCGCCACAAGACCCAGGUUGGCUCGCAACACCGAGGUUGAAGCACUGAAGGAAGUGUCAAGAGCUGUGUGGUGUUCACUGAACCACAGCGUGACCUCUACUGUGGAGGCGACGGCUCCUCCACUUAUUUAGUCAGGUUUUUAUUUGCUGCAGUAUGAGAUGAGACUCGUGUACAAACAUUGCAGUGGGAGAUGAAGCUCCACACGCUAGAGUUCCUCCUAGUCUGUAUCAAUGAUUAGGUUUCAUAUUUCUUAGGAUUAAAGUAGAUUAUCUGUUGUUUAAGCAAAACAAACAACAACUUUGGGUUCAGUUUCUCAAAGGAGCUAGGGAUCAAACCACAAACUCUAACGUUAGUGGAAAACGUGCCUUAACCUCCCGCCAAGCUCAGACUGUCCUUCAGUAACUUAUGUGCAUCAUCUUGCAGACUUGCUUGGCGAUCCAUCACAGUCAGCAUCGUUUCUAUCAAAGCUACUGUACACGAUAAUUGCAGCAUAAUGCAGUUUAAAAUGCGGAUUGAUUUGAGAAGCCUGCUGCUCUGUUGCAUUCUCUGGCCCACGGUACAUAACAAACCCAAGAGCCGCUUUAAAGAAUUUAUUAGUGAACUUGUUAAAAUGACUCAGCUGAGUGGUUCACACAAUUCCAUGCACCAAAACGUGUCCCGUAGCCUCCUAGGCUCCAUAUUAAGGGUGGAUUAAGUGACAUUGUCCAUUUAUUUUUAUUAAAAGAUAACUGACGUUUGUUUUGCCUGGGAUGAACUGCCGGGUCUCUGUGUUCCUGCAGUUAUAUUGUUUAACACAUUGGGUUGGAGACUUGAAGUGUGUCUGAACUGCAGGAGUCUCUGAGUAAUUAAUGGCAUUUUGGGGCCUGCUGCUUGUGAGCGUGCGGUGAACUGGAGGCAGUAAUGCCUGACAAAUGAUGUUGAUGUACAUCCUGUUUGACAUUGUAGAGUCCCUCUGGAAAUACUGGCUUAUACAGUACACACAGGUGACUGCAUACCUUACUACAUAUAUUAUUGUGCACAUAUUGUAUUACUAUUUUUAUUCACAACUUUUUACAGUGAGCACCGUGGAAUAGAAUUAAAGGGCAAGAGCAAGUUAAGCUGUUAGAUCAUCUACUAUCUAAUGUGCAGUUUCAGACAUUAGGCUCCUGUCUCUGUUUCCUUCUCACAUCCCGAUAAUGUAUCUGCAUUCGUGGGUCUGUGGCGUGUGUGCAGCCCACACACGCCACAAUAAAAGCCUGAUAUGACUGGUGCCA